AACGAACGCUGGCGGCAUGCCUAACACAUGCAAGUCGAACGAGAUCCUUCGGGGUCUAGUGGCGCACGGGUGCGUAACGCGUGGGAAUCUGCCCUUAGGUUCGGAAUAACAGUUAGAAAUGACUGCUAAUACCGGAUGAUGACGUUAAGUCCAAAGAUUUAUCGCCUGAGGAUGAGCCCGCGUAGGAUUAGCUAGUUGGUGUGGUAAAGGCGCACCAAGGCGACGAUCCUUAGCUGGUCUGAGAGGAUGAUCAGCCACACUGGGACUGAGACACGGCCCAGACUCCUACGGGAGGCAGCAGUGGGGAAUAUUGGACAAUGGGCGCAAGCCUGAUCCAGCAAUGCCGCGUGAGUGAUGAAGGCCUUAGGGUUGUAAAGCUCUUUUACCCAGGAUGAUAAUGACAGUACCGGGAGAAUAAGCCCCGGCUAACUCCGUG
rnacentral:rRNA from 1 species